rnacentral:misc_RNA from 1 species
GUAACAAGGUUUCCGUAGGUGAACCUGCGGAAGGAUCAUUAGUGAAUAUAGGACGUCCAACUUAACUUGGAGUCCGAACUCUCACUUUCUAACCCUGUGCACUUGUUUGGGAUAGUAACUCUCGCAAGAGAGCGAACUCCUAUUCACUUAUAAACACAAAGUCUAUGAAUGUAUUAAAUUUUAUAACAAAAUAAAACUUUCAACAACGGAUCUCUUGGCUCUCGCAUCGAUGAAGAACGCAGCGAAAUGCGAUAAGUAAUGUGAAUUGCAGAAUUCAGUGAAUCAUCGAAUCUUUGAACGCACCUUGCGCUCCAUGGUAUUCCGUGGAGCAUGCCUGUUUGAGUGUCAUGAAUACUUCAACCCUCCUCUUUCUUAAUGAUUGAAGAGGUGUUUGGUUUCUGAGCGCUGCUGGCCUUUACGGUCUAGCUCGUUCGUAAUGCAUUAGCAUCCGCAAUCGAACUUCGGAUUGACUUGGCGUAAUAGACUAUUCGCUGAGGAAUUCUAGUCUUCGGACUAGAGCCGGGUUGGGUUAAAGGAAGCUUCUAAUCAGAAUGUCUACAUUUUAAGAUUAGAUCUCAAAUCAGGUAGGACUACCCGCUGAACUUAAGCAUAUCAAUAA